UGCAAGUCGAACGCAUUGUGGUUGAAAUGAUAUGAAGAACUUGUUCAGAUUUGAUUUUCAACAUUGCAAUGAGUGGCGAACGGGUGAGUAACACGUGGGAAACCUACCUCUUAGCAGGGGAUAACAUUUGGAAACAAAUGCUAAUACCGUAUAAUAAUUAAAACCGCAUGGUUUUAGUUUAAAAGAUGGUCUUGCUAUCACUAAGAGAUGGUCCCGCGGUGUAUUAGUUAGUUGGUGAGGUAAUGGCUCACCAAGACAAUGAUACAUAGCCGAGUUGAGAGACUGACCGGCCACAAUGGGACUGAGACACGGCCCAUACUCCUACGGGAGGCAGCAGUAGGGAAUCUUCCACAAUGGACGAAAGUCUGAUGGAGCAACGCCGCGUGUGUGAUGAAGGGUUUCGGCCCGUAAAACACUGUUGUAAGAGAAGAAUGACAUUGAGAGUAACUGUUCAAUGUGUGACGGUAUCUUACCAGAAAGGAACGGCUAAAUACGUG
rnacentral:rRNA from 1 species